AUUUAAACCCAUUCAUAGUGACAAAUUAGAGGUACUCCCAGCCAAGUUUCGAUCCUUAGCUUCUAAUAGUCGUCUAGCUUGCCAAUGAGUUGACUUAACUCCGUAUCCUUUUCCAACAUAUCAGAACAUCGAAAUGUUAAUUAUACCUAGCUUUUGAAAAAUGUCAGUUUUUGCACAAUUAAUCGAAUCUUAGCAAUCCAACUAGUUAACCUUCAAAUUCCCCAAUCCAAGCCAAAAAAGGAAAAAUACCAAAUAUGGAGAAAAUCAUAUUUCGAAGUUAUUAACCGAUUAAAGCAAAAAAUAAUUAGUAAAAAAGUUAAAUCUUACCUCCAAGAUGGUUUCCUAAGCUCCAAAUGACCUCAAAAGGCUCAGAAACUCAAUUUGGGGGGUUAGGGUUCUAGGUUUUUAGAGAGAGAAAGGGAAGGAAAGAGUUAAGAGAAAGAGAUGGGGUGAAAUGGCUUGAACCCCUUUUUAUUUUUGCCUUUUUUCUGUGAUGUAUAGAUGCAUUUGGCAAUGUAUCAAUACAUUUGCCCUAAUUUCGAUUGAAUGUAUCGAUACAUCGAGGAAAUAUAUCGAUACAUUUUGGGCAGAAUGGUCCUGGGUGCUCUCUGCUUUAAAUGUAUCGAUACAUUGAGGCAAUGUAUUGAUACAUGUUUAUCCUAUGCCAAAU
rnacentral:lncRNA from 1 species